AACGCACAUUGCGCCCGCCAGUAUUCUGGCGGGCAUGCCUGUUCGAGCGUCAUUUCAACCCUCAGGCCCCCAGUGCCUGGCGUUGGGGAUCGGCACGACCGCGCCUCCGGGCGCGGCGCCGGCCCCGAAAUCUAGUGGCGGUCUCGCUGUAGUCCUCCUCUGCGUAGUAGCACAACCUCGCACUGGAACGCGGCGGCGACUGAGCCGUUAAACCCCCAACAUUCUGAAAGUUGACCUCGGAUCAGGUAGGAAUACCCGCUGAACUUAA
rnacentral:misc_RNA from 1 species